GGAGGGUUCGCCUAGUGGCCGAUGGCGCUGGUCUUGAAAACCGGUAAGGCAGCGAUGUCUUCGUGGGUUCGAAUCCCACACCCUCCGCAA
rnacentral:tRNA from 1 species